rnacentral:rRNA from 1 species
UGGCCUUGCGGUGCAUUAACUAGUUGGUCGAGGUAACGGCUCACCAAGGUGAUGAUGCAUAGCCGACCUGAGAGGGUAAUCGGCCACAUUGGGACUGAGACACGGCCCAAACUCCUACGGGAGGCAGCAGUAGGGAAUCUUCCGCAAUGGACGCAAGUCUGACGGAGCAACGCCGCGUGAGUGAAGAAGGUUUUCGGAUCGUAAAACUCUGUUGUAAGAGAAGAACAAAAUUGUAGAGUAACUGCUACAGUCUUGACGGUAUCUUACCAGAAAGCCACGGGCUAACUACGUGCCAGCAGCCGCGGUAAAU